UUGGCCUCUUCGAAGACUCUUUAUCCCUGAAUUUCGUGGAUAUAGCGUUCAAAGCGAGGCCUAUAAUAAAUGUGCAUCUCAAUCUUUAUCAAAAUAUAAACAACAGAUUGUUAUCUCAUAGAGUCUUUUGAGCGUUCUUACGAAUGCUGGAAAUAUAUACAAUGGGAAUAGAUUAUAACGAUUCUAUUUUCUUAUUGGCUCAAUGGUACAUCU
rnacentral:snoRNA from 1 species